ensembl:snoRNA SNORA70 Small nucleolar RNA SNORA70
CUGCAGCUUAUUAAGCCGACCAGUCUGGUUGUCGGUGCUAUUCUGGUGUGCAAAGGCUGCAGACAGUAACUCUUUGGUUUGUGUAUGUGCCCAGCUGGGAAGUGCUGGGUCCUUAAAGGGACCACUGAGACAAAG